GGCGAAUUAGCUCAGUCGGUUAGAGCAGAGGAAUCAUAAUCCUUGUGUCUGGGGUUCGAGUCCCUGAUUCGCCACCA
rnacentral:tRNA from 1 species